rnacentral:rRNA from 1 species
GACGAACGCUGGCGGCGUGCUUAACACAUGCAAGUCGAACGGAAAGGCCCUGCUUUUGUGGGGUGCUCGAGUGGCGAACGGGUGAGUAACACGUGAGUAACCUGCCCUUGCCUUUGGGAUAACUUCAGGAAACUGGGGCUAAUACCGGAUAGGGGCUCCUGCUGCAUGGUGGGGGUUGGAAAGUUUCGGCGGUUGGGGAUGGACUCGCGGCUUAUCAGCUUGUUGGUGGGGUAGUGGCUUACCAAGGCUUUGACGGGUAGCCGGCCUGAGAGGGUGACCGGCCACAUUGGGACUGAGAUACGGCCCAGACUCCUACGGGAGGCAGCAGUGGGGAAUAUUGCACAAUGGGCGGAAGCCUGAUGCAGCAACGCCGCGUGCGGGAUGACGGCCUUCGGGUUGUAAACCGCUUUCGCCUGUGACGAAGCGUGAGUGACGGUAAUGGGUAAAGAAGCACCGGCUAACUACGUG